UACGGAGGAUCCGAGCGUUAUCCGGAUUUAUUGGGUUUAAAGGGUGCGUAGGCGGGCAUUUAAGCCGGCGGUCAAAUGUCGGGGCUCAACCCCGUACUGCCGUUGAAACUGCAUCCCUUGAGUGCGCGAGAAGUAUGCGGAAUGCGUGGUGUAGCGGUGAAAUGCAUAGAUAUCACGCAGAACUCCGAUUGCGAAGGCAGCAUACCGGCGCGCAACUGACGCUCAUGCACGAAAGCGUGGGUAUCGAACAGG
rnacentral:rRNA from 1 species